rnacentral:rRNA from 1 species
AGUGGCGAACGGGUGAGUAAUAUAUCGGAACGUACCCUAGAGUGGGGGAUAACGUAGCGAAAGUUACGCUAAUACCGCAUACGAUCUAAGGAUGAAGGUGGGGGAUCGCAAGACCUCAUGCUCGUGGAGCGGCCGAUAUCUGAUUAGCUAGUUGGUAGGGUAAAAGCCUACCAAGGCAUCGAUCAGUAGCUGGUCUGAGAGGACGACCAGCCACACUGGAACUGAGACACGGUCCAGACUCCUACGGGAGGCAGCAGUGGGGAAUUUUGGACAAUGGGCGAAAGCCUGAUCCAGCAAUGCCGCGUGAGUGAAGAAGGCCUUCGGGUUGUAAAGCUCUUUUGUCAGGGAAGAAACGGUGAAGGCUAAUAUCUUAUGCUAAUGACGGUACCUGAAGAAUAAGCACCGGCUAACUACGUGCCAGCAGCCGCGGUAAUACGGAGGAUGCGAGCGUUAUCCGGAUUUAUUGGGUUUAAAGGGUGCGUAGGCGGACCCAUAAGUCAGUGGUGAAAGUUUGCAGCUUAACUGUAAAAUUGCCGUUGAAACUGUGGGUCUUGAGUGUAAAUAAAGUAGGCGGAAUGUGUUGUGUAGCGGUGAAAUGCUUAGAUAUAACACAGAACACCAAUUGCGAAGGCAGCUUACUGGGAUACAACUGACGCUGAGGCACGAAAGCGUGGGGGAUCAAACAGGAUUAGAUACCCUGGUAGUCCACGCAGUAAACGAUGAAUACUAGCUGUAUGCGAUAUACUGUAUGUGGCACAGCGAAAGCGUUAAGUAUUCCACCUGGGGGAGUACGUUCGCAAGAAUGAAACUCAAAGGAAUUGACGGGGGCCCGCACAAGCGGUGGAGCAUGUGGUUUAAUUCGAAGCA